rnacentral:rRNA from 1 species
UACGUAUGGAGCAAGCGUUAUCCGGAUUUACUGGGCGUAAAGGGAGCGUAGGCGGCCUGCCAAGUCUGAUGUGAAAUACCGGGGCUCAACCCCGGGGCUGCAUUGGAAACUGGCAUGCUAGAGUGCCGGAGGGGCAAGCGGAAUUCCUAGUGUAGCGGUGAAAUGCGUAGAUAUUAGGAGGAACACCGGUGGCGAAGGCGGCUUGCUGGACGGUAACUGACGUUGAGGCUCGAAAGCGUGGGGAGCAAACAGG